rnacentral:lncRNA from 1 species
UGUAUAAAUGACAAUAUUUUAAAUACUUGAUGAAGAUGAGGAUGAUUGAAUAAAACACUCAUUUUUCAAAAAAUAAAAUUAAAAAAAUAACGACAUUUUCGUGAAUAAUUUGAACUUCUAACGUAAAUAGGAAAAAUAAAAGUUAAAAAAGGAGGUCAUCUUUGCAUUUGACUUGAAGUUUUGAGUCAUAUUUGAAAAAAAAUCUCUUGUUAUCAAUUGUUAUUUCAUACAUUACAUUUUUAAAAUUUAUUUAGUUAUACCAUCGAAAGGAUUCUUGUUUAGGGUACUUUAUAUUUCCAUGUUGUAAAAAAUUAAUUAAAUGUUAUUUAUAAUAAUAUAUUAUUAAUUACAAAAUGAAUUAAUGUAUUGCUAUACUAUAUAGCAUAUAUUUUCUAAUAGAAUAUAUUUCAAAGUUUUCUAAUAGAAUAUUAAAAUUGAUUUAAAAUUAAUAUAUUAAAGUUUCAAAGUUUCCUAAUAGCAUAUUUUGUAAAUAAUAAAUGACCUAGAAGUUAGUUAUAUACUAUUAUAUUUGGUAUUAAUAUUUUUAGAUAAUAGAAGUUGUGAAUUUCAAAAAUAAGUAAAAAGAUAAUA